UCGUCGUUGUUCUUGAUGUUGUGACCAGAUUUUCGAAGAUAGGGAGUGUUUUUUUCUUCAGAUGAAGUGCAUAUUGUCAGCAUCAGUUGAAAUUAUAUCCUAUUGAGCGUGAAUUAUAAUUUCGGUUUGGGAAAAUGAGCCAAAAUUGAAAGAAACGACAGUAAACCGCUUUGCGUUAAGACAUUACCGGUGGACUGAGGUGUAUACGUGCAGUGAGCACGGUGGUACUGUAUUUACAAUGUACAGGUCAAGUGGAAGGUUCCUGAAUGGGGACUAACAUUUCAACUACCUCAGCAAACUGUAAUCAUCAGAAUUGCAAGCCAAGGUGUAUUUACCAAGUGCUCAAGUUUCCAAAUUAGUCACAUAAUUCUUACAGUGGAGUUCAAUCCUUUUUAAGGCUAUCAUCAGCUUGAUCAUCCUGUUACAUGUGAAAACAUCAAAUGUUACUCACAUAUUCAAAUAAUUUCCUGAAUUAAAAGUAAUAAUUUUUUUUAAUAACCUGCUACCUUUAAUUGUGCUCCAGGAAUAGUAAAUGGUAUUGAAGAGAAAGGAAAAGAGUUCUUGAAACAUUACAUGUUAAAUAAAACUUUGUUAUGAAUGUUAAUUGUGAUUGCAACAAAACAUCUGUGAAGCUAUAAUAACAAAUACCUUUCCAGGUAAACAAACCAUAA